rnacentral:rRNA from 1 species
UACGUAGGUGGCGAGCGUUGUCCGGAUUUACUGGGCGUAAAGAGCGCGCAGGCGGUCGUUCAAGUCGCGUGUGAAAGCCCCCGGCUCAACUGGGGAGGGUCACGCGAUACUGAUCGACUCGAAGGCAGGAGAGGGUAGUGGAAUUCCCGGUGUAGUGGUGAAAUGCGUAGAUAUCAGGAGGAACACCUAUUGCGAAGGCAGCUCGCUGGGACGUAACUGACGCUGAGACGCGAAAGCGUGGGGAGCAAACAGG